rnacentral:rRNA from 1 species
UACGUAGGGUGCGAGCGUUGUCCGGAAUUAUUGGGCGUAAAGGGCUCGUAGGCGGUUUGUCGCGUCGGGAGUGAAAACCUUGGGCUUAACUCAGGGCUUGCUUUCGAUACGGGCAGACUAGAGGUAUGCAGGGGGAGAACGGAAUUCCUGGUGUAGCGGUGAAAUGCGCAGAUAUCAGGAGGAACACCGAUGGCGAAGGCAGCUCACUGGGACGGUGACUGACGCUGAGACGCGAAAGCGUGGGGAGCAAACAGG